AGAGUUUGAUCCUGGCUCAGGAUGAACGCUGACAGAAUGCUUAACACAUGCAAGUCUUUGGCGAAGCUGUGCUUGCACAGCCUAGCCAAGGCGGACGGGUGAGUAACGCGUAAGGAACUUGCCCUGCAGUCAGGGAUAACAGACGGAAACGACUGAUAAGACCUGGUAAAGUCAGGCGGACUCAUGUCCAGCCUGAUGAAAAGAGAUGCUGCAGGAGAGCCUUGCGUCCUAUUAGCUUGUUGGUGGGGUAACGGCUCACCAAGGCGAUGAUAGGUAGCCGGCCUGAGAGGGUGGACGGCCACAAGGGGACUGAGAUACGGCCCUUACUCCUACGGGAGGCAGCAGUGGGGAAUAUUGGACAAUGGGGGCAACCCUGAUCCAGCAAUUCUGUGUGCACGAUGAAGGUUUUCGGAUUGUAAAGUGCUUUCAGCAGGGAAGAAAAAAAUGACGGUACCUGCAGAAGAAGCGACGGCUAAAUACGUG
rnacentral:rRNA from 1 species